rnacentral:tRNA from 1 species
GCCAUGACCCCUCAGUUGGUAGAGUAUGAGACUCUUAAUCUCAGGUUUAUGGGUUCAAGCCCCACAUUGGGCA